rnacentral:rRNA from 1 species
CCUANGGGGGGCAGCAGUGGGGAAUAUUGCACAAUGGGCGCAAGCUUGAUGCAGCGACGCCGCGUGGAGGAUGAAGGUCUUCGGAUUGUAAACUUCUGUUAAGUGGGAAGAAAGAGUGGUUCUAAAUAAGAGCUAAAGAUGACGGUACCACUAGAGAAAGCACCGGCAAACUUCGUGCCAGCAGCCGCGGUAAUACGAAGGGUGCAAGCGUUAUUCGGAGUUACUGGGCGUAAAGAGCGCGUAGGCGGUCUGUUAAGUUAUUUGUUAAAUCUCUCGGCUUAACCGGGAACAAGCAGGUAAUACUGGCAGACUAGAGUGUAAGAGAGAGGAGUGGAAUUCUCGGAGUAGCGGUAAAAUGCGUAGAUCUCGAGAGGAACACCGGAGGCGAAGGCGGCUCCUUGGCUUACAACUGACGCUCAAGUGCGAAAGCGUGGGGAGCAAACAGGAUUAGAUACCCGUNUANUC